GUGCUCACUUUGGCAGCACAUAUACUAAAAUAGGAACAAUACAGAGACCAUUAGCAUGGAUAUCCUUCUGCGCAAGGAUAAAAUGCAGAUUCAUGAAGGAGUCUAUAUUUUU